GAUGAACGCUGGCGGCGUGCCUAAUACAUGCAAGUCGAGCGAACGGACGAGAAGCUUGCUUCUCUGAUGUUAGCGGCGGACGGGUGAGUAACACGUGGAUAACCUACCUAUAAGACUGGGAUAACUUCGGGAAACCGGAGCUAAUACCGGAUAAUAUUUUGAACCGCAUGGUUCAAAAGUGAAAGACGGUCUUGCUGUCACUUAUAGAUGGAUCCGCGCUGCAUUAGCUAGUUGGUAAGGUAACGGCUUACCAAGGCAACGAUGCAUAGCCGACCUGAGAGGGUGAUCGGCCACACUGGAGCUGAGACACGGUCCAUACUCCUACGGGAGGCAGCAGUAGGGAAUCUUCCGCAAUGGGCGAAAGCCUGACGGAGCAACGCCGCGUGAGUGAUGAAGGUCUUCGGAUCGUAAAACUCUGUUAUUAGGGAAGAACAUAUGUGUAAGUAACUGUGCACAUCUUGACGGUAACUAAUCAGAAAGCCACGGCUAACUACGUG
rnacentral:rRNA from 1 species